UACAGAGGUCCCAAGCGUUGUUCGGAUUCACUGGGCGUAAAGGGUGCGUAGGUGGUGGGGUAAGUCGGAUGUGAAAGCUCGGAGCUCAACUCCGAAAUGGCAUUGGAAACUACCCUGCUAGAGGAUUGGAGGGGGGACUGGAAUACUUGGUGUAGCGGUGGAAUGCGCAGAUAUCAGGAGGAACACCGGUGGCGAAGGCGGGUCUCUGGGCAGUAACUGACGCUGAGGAGCGAAAGCGUGGGGAGCGAACAGG
rnacentral:rRNA from 1 species